ACAGACAAAGUUAAUAAACCUCAUAUAAUAUUAGGGAUAUGGCCUAAAAGUUUCUACCUAGUUACCGCAAAUGACUGGACUAUGAGGGAGAGUGUGCUGAAU
rnacentral:ncRNA from 1 species